AGUGAUCCCUGGUAGCAACCUCGGUCACAAAUUUCCAGCUACUGUGCUUCAUCCGGAGAUAAGAAGGCUCUGUAGGAGCUCUAUUGGUCGUUCUUGGCAGCAGGUAUCACUAGAGGAUCUGUGCCGACAAUUUUACCUUCGGGCAGGGAAUCAUCAGAGGACUUUGAUCAAGGCGGUUGUCGUGACGAGAUUGACGUCGGAUUCAGCCUACAUUUACAGGCGG